rnacentral:lncRNA from 1 species
UUUUUUUUUUGCCAUUUUUGAGCUCUUUAUUUUUCUAGCUUUACUGUAUACAGUGGACAUAUAAUUUUCUCUUUCGUUUGUAGGUUCUCAAAAGCUCUUAGCACAGGGUGGAAGCCCCUCUUGCCUGGUCCUGGGGUGGUACUCUCUGUCCCUUCAUCAGCUGCCCCCCAUCUCCCUCACUGGGAGCGUGGUCAAAAAAAAAAAAAAAAAAAAAAAAAAAAAGUCUCCUUUGAAGCUGUUGGUAAAAUUGUGUGUCUAAUUUACAAUUUCAGGAGCUUGUUGAGUGGGGUACGGCUGUUGAGAUGGGUCUUGGGUAGAACGGUAUGUAGAACAAUGCCAGACAUGGGGGCACUUGAUGCUGGAUGGAUGGGUCAUGGAUAAAGGAGGAAAAGAAGAAAUCCCUAGAAUUACUUUGCUUCUGACAUGUUACCACUGUUUAAAUCAAAGAGGGUACAGAGGGAUCCCCAAAGUGUCUUUAUAAAAAUACUUUAUCCUUUAUCCUUGCCAUCUACAGGGAACAAAGGUUUGUGGUUGAGUAAGCGCUGACUUAGUAAUAUGGGAAUGAGCAUGAUGUAGGAUAGACAUGAAGAGCCACCCCAAAGCCAGAGGUAUACUGGCUUCCAUUGGGUCCUUUAUUUUUCUGUGUUGGGCACACUGGCGGUGAAUGUGUACAGCGGGAUCCAUAGCAAGAAAUCAGCCCAGAUCAGUGAAAGUACAUAUAGGAUGGGGUUGAGGAAAGCCCUCCUAAACCCACAAUGCAACCCCUAAGCAGAUGGGAUCAUGCCUGUGAACCAACUGUAUCUGCCCUUGCAGAUGUAACCAGCUAAAGCAAGCUGUGGCUAAAGCGGGCUGAUCCCCAUGGUUUGAAACUUGGUUUGGAGGAAGAGGGCUGUAUGCAAAUGAUACAUGGAGGGGGUCUCAGAUUUUUGUAACAAGGUUAUUUUAAAACAUUGUACCUUUUUCACUGCUAUGGAGGCAGGUGCCUAGUUGUAGCUCUUCUGAAGUGAGGGUGGAGAGUUGGGAAAUUUUUGACCAAAUGUAUUCCUUAGAAAGACUCCCCACCACCACCAGUGCCCUUCUACUUUUAUGAUUUAUGCCAAAGCCAGAGUGUUAGAAUUUAUAUUGUGGAAGAAUGAACACAUGUUCGUUAAAGAACACAUUUCCCUUUUGUGGUUGUGUCUGUAGAGUCUGCAGAGGGUCCUCGUCAGAGGAAUGCAGGGUUUGCUUUGCCUGAAGAAUAAUUCCAAGCUUGCCAUCUACAGAGAGUGUUAUCAAAGGGAAUCUCACUGUAAACAGUGACAUUCGGGACUGGCUGGGGUGGGGGCUUGCCCACCCUCCCCGGUAGCUGCUGAAAUUGAGCUGUCAGAGGAGGAAGAUGAAAUGCUGCUUUGUUCUGUUGCUCCAGCUCCCAGAGGCAGCGUUUCCAGGUCAUUUGACAUUAGUUCAGAGAAUGGGAAAGUAUUUAUCUUCCCCCUUCCUUUUUUUUUUUUCUGAAGCUUUUAAAAAAAUGUUUCCUGCUUGUUGGUAAGUGGGAAGUGACAGCUCUCCAGGUUGGCUGCCUGCAUGUUUGAGGAGAGAUGUUGACCAGGAUGGCUGGUGGUGCUGGCAGAGGAUGCCAGCCCUGCCCCUCCUAGCACACUGGGCACUUUGUUCCAAGUUUCAGCCCUCAAGCACCCCCCCCCCAACCCAGCACACACUCCCCCCACUGAUAAUCUUUAAAGCAGUGUUUUCUGAAGAGCAUUCCUUGGGACAUUAGUUGAGCACAAGAUGUUCCAAGGGGAAAAAAUUCCAGGAAAAAAUAAAAAUAAAAAUGUUCUGUGGCCAAAUGAUUUUAGGACACACUGCAUGCUGUAUUUAUCCCCCUCCUGCUGACACACAACUCAGUGUUUUAAGGCUCUGAGGAUUCCUACAGGCAAGAAACUUGUUAAGCUUUGUUUAAGCUAGCAUCUCCCAAAUUUAUUUGAACUUUUGGUGUUUUCAACAAGGUUUUUGAGUUUCUGUUAUGGGUCUGGCAUUUUACAAAGCACAGAUAUGAAAGUUACCAAGGCCAAUUAGGCAGAUGGACCUUAUGGGACCUCCUGGAGCUUAUAGACAGAUAAUAAACAGGUAACCAGAACAAUGAACAGUUACACAUUGUGCUACAUGAUGUGAAUAAGUAGGUGGGGGUGCUGUAGUGAGGAACAGAGAGAGGAGUGAGUCUGAUGAAGGACUGGGAAGGGCCCCCAAUAUGGCAACGUUCAGUUGAUAACCAGAGCGUGAGAAGGUGGCAGCCAUGUGAAGUAUGGGAGAAGGCAUGGGGGAGCAUGUGCAAAGGCCCUGAGACAGCACAUGCUCUUGGUCUAAGAUAUGCCAUUUGGGAGUUUUUGUUGUGGCUCAGAAGGUUAAGGGUCUGGCUAGUAUCCGUGAGGACACGGGAUCCAUCCCUGGCCUCGCUUGGUGGAUUAAGUAUCCCUCGUUGUUGUGAGCUGUGGCAUAGGUCACAGACACAGCUUGAAUCUGGUUUUGCUGUGGCUGUGGUGUAUGCUGGCAGCUGCAGCUCCAAUUUGACCCCUAGCCUGGGAAUUUCCAUAUGUUACAUGUGCAGCCCUAAAAAUAAGAAAGAGAGAAAGAGAGAAAGAGAGAGAGAAAGAGAGAAAG